GGCGGAAUAUGUCAUGUAGCGGUGAAAUGCAUAGAUAUGACAUGGAACACCAAUUGCGAAGGCAGCUCACUAAACUAUUACUGACGCUCAUGAACGAAAGCAUGGGGAGCGAACAGGAUUAGAUACCCUGGUAGUCCAUGCUGUAAACUAUGAUCACUAGAUGUUGGCGAUAUAUUGUCAGUGUUUUAGAGAAAUCGUUAAGUGAUCCACCUGGGGAGUACGUUCGCAAGAAUGAAACUCAAAGGAAUUGACGGGGGCUCGCACAAGCGGUGGAGCAUGUGGUUUAAUUCGAUGAUACGCGAGGAACCUUACCAAGACUUAAAUGUAUUUUGCUAAAUUGAGAAAUCAAUUGUUCUUCGGACAAUUUACAAGGUGCUGCAUGGUUGUCGUCAGCUCGUGCCGUGAGGUGUCGGGUUAAGUCCCAUAACGAGCGCAACCCCUAUUUUUAGUUACCAGCGAAUAAUGUCGGGGGCUCUAGAAACACUGCCUGUG
rnacentral:rRNA from 1 species